rnacentral:rRNA from 1 species
GACGUAGGGCGCGAGCGUUGUCCGGAUUUAUUGGGCGUAAAGAGCUCGUAGGCGGCUUGUCGCGUCGACUGUGAAAACCCGAGGCUCAACUUCGGGCUUGCAGUCGAUACGGGCAGGCUAGAGUUCGGUAGGGGAGACUGGAAUUCCUGGUGUAGCGGUGAAAUGCGCAGAUAUCAGGAGGAACACCGAUGGCGAAGGCAGGUCUCUGGGCCGAUACUGACGCUGAGGAGCGAAAGCGUGGGGAGCGAACGGG